rnacentral:rRNA from 1 species
UUGGAGGGCAAGUCUGGUGCCAGCAGCCGCGGUAAUUCCAGCUCCAAUAGCGUAUAUUAAAGUUGUUGCAGUUAAAAAGCUCGUAGUUGAAUUUCGGGGUUAGUAGGUUGGUCAUGCCUCUGGUAUGUACUGAUCUCACUGAUUCCUCCCUCUUGACGAACUGUAAUGUCAUUAAUUUGGUGUUGCAGGAAAUCAGGACUGUUACUUUGAAAAAAUUAGAGUGUUUAAAGCAGGCUAAGGCUUGAAUACAUUAGCAUGGAAUAAUGAAAUAGGACGUUUGAACCUAUUUUGUUGGUUUCUAGGAUCGACGUAAUGAUUAAUAGGGAUAGUUGGGGGCAUUAGUAUUCAAUUGUCAGAGGUGAAAUUCUUGGAUUUAUUGAAGACUAACUACUGCGAAAGCAUUUGCCAAGGAUGUUUUCAUUAAUCAAGAACGAAAGUUAGGGGAUCGAAGACGAUCAGAUACCGUCGUAGUCUUAACCAUAAACUAUGCCGACUAGGGAUCGGAUGAUGUUAAUUUUUUAAUGACUCAUUCGGCGCCUUACGGAAAC